rnacentral:lncRNA from 1 species
CUCACAAUAAUUGAAUUCCCUCAAAACAUUACAUUACCUCAAAAUAUUCCUCCAUCCAAACACACUCUUAAGAACCAGAGACACAUAGUAAAUUCAUUCACUUGUGUGGUGCACGCGUGUAGUAACAAGUACAAAGUUCGUGCUGGUUCAUUCUUCUGAUUCAUCAAACCCUAAUUUCACAAUUCAAAGUUCUUGCUGCAUUCUUCUCACACAAGGUGAAUCUAUACUAUUCUCUUAAUUAAGAUUUUAUGAUUCUUGAUUUAGCACAAGCACUUAUUAUGGUAAACACUUAUGUAUAAGUUUACAUAAGAUAUUUUUAUAACAAAAGAUAAAAUGUUUUUGUAUAUGCUAAGGGACAAUGCAUAUUAUAUGCAUGGGCCGGGGUUCCAACCCCGAAAACCCCACUUAUUCACUUUAAGGUGAAUUUCUCUAGCCACUAUGCUACUUGACCAAAUAAAAAAGUUGUUUUCAUAAGCUAUAUUGUAGAACUUAUGAAAUUAAGUUGAAAAAAGCUUAUCAAAAGUGUCAUAAGCUGUUUUCACAAGAAGAUAAACUUAAAUAAGCCAAUUCAAACAUGCGUUAUAACUAUUAUGUAAUUUGUUAUCAAGUUUUAAUUUUUGGUAUGAAAACAUGAAUCAUAGCUAUAGUUUUCUUGAUUAGUAAUGUGAACUUUCUCACUGUUGUAAAACAAAUAGGGAAAAAUUGGUAGAUUUUGAGUAAGAUUUCAUGUUAGAUACCUUGGAGAUAAUUUAUUUGAUUUCCUUUGCACUCACCUCCAAUUAUUGUCAAGUUAUAGGAAAUAUGUCUGCUGAAGGGGAUGUUCAUGUUCGUGUUCCUCAUGAAGUACUUUCGCAUGUCAACCAUGAACCCUAAUCUCAUCUUUGUUUAAACCAAGAUAAUUGCCCUCCCGACACGAAAAACAUUGCUGUUUUGUGGAACAAUUAAUUGGUUGAUAACCGCAAACGAACAUUAAGAAAUGUAAAUAAAACAGCAAGAGAAGUUGCAGAGUUAGAAGAUGAGUUAGCAUCCUCAAAUUAUGUUUGCUCGGUAAUCGUUUUGCUGCAGCAUAAUGUAUUGUUUGGUUUGAUGGUACCUCAAGGAGGCAAAAGAAUGCGUAUGCUUUGGCAAAAAGUGC